rnacentral:rRNA from 1 species
GAUGAACGCUAGCUACAGGCUUAACACAAGCAAGUCGAGGGGUAGCAGGGUAGCAAUACCGCUGACGACCCGCGCACGGGGGAGUAAAACGUAUCCAACCUUCCCAUAACUCGGGGAUAGCCUUUCGAAAGAAAGAUUAAUACCCGAUAGUACUUAACAAAGGCAUCUUUGAUCAGUUAAAGAUUUAUUGGUUAUGGAUGGGGAUGCGUUCCAUUAGAUAGUUGGUGAGGUAACGGCUCACCAAGUCUUCGAUCGAUAGGGGUUCUGAGAGGAAGGUCCCCCACAUUGGUACUGAGACACGGACCAAACUCCUACGGCAGGCAGCAGUGAGGAAUAUUGGUCAAUGGGCGAGAGCCUGAACCAGCCAAGUAGCGUGAAGGAUGAAGGUCCUAUGGAUUGUAAACUUCUUUUAUAGUAGAAUAAAGUGAUCCACGUGUGGAUUUUUGUAUGUAUACUAUGAAUAAUGAUCGGCUAACUCCGUGCCAGCAGCCGCCGUAAAAC